GAUUUAUACCACCAGCUUUCCUGGUUCUCCACCUUGCAGAAAGAAGAUCCUGGGACUUCUAGCUCAGCUUCUAUAACCAAACAAGCUGAAUUUGAUUAAGUAUUCUUCAGGUGGCUCUAUCAAAUACUCUUGUAUAAUAUCAGUAUGAAGUAGCCCAGGAAGACAGUAGAGCAUAAUUUAAUAUGAAAAGGAGGUAGAGUUGGAGGUCUGCAUCUGUUUCUACCUUAUGGAGAAUCAACAGCAAAUACUUGGUUCCUGGAAUACAGGGAGGAGAAAAAUCCAACAGGAGUAUGAUGGAAAAACAAAUGAGCCAGGAAUCCAAAUUCUGCAUGAUAUUUAGUCUGGAAGAUAGAAAGUGGUUUCAUUGAAGACAAGGGAAGAAUGUUUCAAGCCGAAAAGAGUCAACAGUGUCAGAUGCAACAGAGGAACAGUGAAAGAAAACUUUAAAGACAACUGAAAUAAUUUGGCAAGUCAGUCAUUGAUGACGUUUGCCUGACAGUAUCAUUGAAAUGGUGAGGUGAGAAGACUGAUUUCAACUUCCUCUUGUGCAUGGGGGGAGAGAAAUGAGAGUAUUGCAUGAUGACAAAUAAAAUUUCCAGGAGCCUAGUGAUGAAGGGACAUAGACAUUAAGAGAUGUGAGGGGCGUUUGGUGUUUUGCUUGUGUAUACAAAUGUGUUUUUCAAGUU
rnacentral:lncRNA from 1 species